rnacentral:rRNA from 1 species
UACGUAGGGGGCAAGCGUUGUCCGGAUUUAUUGGGCGUAAAGAGCGUGUAGGCGGCCAUGUAGGUCCGUUGUGAAACUCGAGGCUCAACCUCGAGACGCCGAUGGAAACCAUGUGGCUAGAGUCCGGAAGAGGAGAGUGGAAUUCCUGGUGUAGCGGUGAAAUGCGCAGAUAUCAGGAAGAACACCCGUGGCUAAGGCGGUUCUCUGGGACGGUACUGACGCUGAGACGCGAAAGCGUGGGGAGCGAACAGG